rnacentral:rRNA from 1 species
GAUGAACGCUGGCGGCGUGCCUAAUACAUGCAAGUCGAGCGAACAGAUGAGAAGCUUGCUUCUCUGAUGUUAGCGGCGGACGGGUGAGUAGCACGUGGGUAACCUACCUAUAAGACUGGGAUAACUCCGGGAAACCGGGGCUAAUACCGGAUAAUAUUUUGAACCGCAUGGUUCAAUAGUGAAAGACGGUUUCGGCUGUCACUUAUAGAUGGACCCGCGCCGUAUUAGCUAGUUGGUAAGGGAACGGUUACCAAGGCGACGAUACGUAGCCGACCUGAGAGGUUGAUCGGCCACACAGGAACUGAGACACGGUCCAGACUCCUACGGGAGGCAGCAGUAGGGAAUCUUCCGCAAUGGGCGAAAGCCUGACGGAGCAACGCCGCGUGAGUGAUGAAGGUCUUCGGAUCGUAAAACUCUGUUGUUAGGGAAGAACAAAUUUGUUAGUAACUGAACAAGUCUUGACGGUACCUAACCAGAAAGCCACGGCUAACUACGUGCCAGCCGCCGCUGUAA